rnacentral:rRNA from 1 species
UCCUGACUGACCGAUAGUGAACCAGUACCGUGAGGGAAAGGCGAAAAGAACCCCGGCGAGGGGAGUGAAAAAGAACCUGAAACCGUGUACGUACAAGCAGUGGGAGCACGCUUAGGCGUGUGACUGCGUACCUUUUGUAUAAUGGGUCAGCGACUUAUAUUCUGUAGCAAGGUUAACCGAAUAGGGGAGCCGAAGGGAAACCGAGUCUUAACUGGGCGUUAAGUUGCAGGGUAUAGACCCGAAACCCGGUGAUCUAGCCAUGGGCAGGUUGAAGGUUGGGUAACACUAACUGGAGGACCGAACCGACUAAUGUUGAAAAAUUAGCGGAUGACUUGUGGCUGGGGGUGAAAGGCCAAUCAAACCGGGAGAUAGCUGGUUCUCCCCGAAAGCUAUUUAGGUAGCGCCUCGUGAAUUCAUCUCCGGGGGUAGAGCACUGUUUCGGCAAGGGGGUCAUCCCGACUUACCGACCCGAUGCAAACUGCGAAUACCGGAGAAUGUUAUCACGGGAGACACACGGCGGGUGCUAACGUCCGUCGUGAAGAGGGAAACAACCCAGACCGCCAGCUAAGGUCCCAAAGUCAUGGUUAAGUGGGAAACGAUGUGGGAAGGCCCAGACAGCCAGGAUGUUGGCUUAGAAGCAGCCAUCAUUUAAAGAAAGCGUAAUAGCUCACUGGUCGAGUCGGCCUGCGCGGAAGAUGUAACGGGGCUAAACCAUGCACCGAAGCUGCGGCAGCGA